rnacentral:rRNA from 1 species
GGAGUUUGGUCCGUGUCUCAGUACCAAUGUGGGGGACCUUCCUCUCAGAACCCCUACUGAUCGAUGGCUCGGUGGGCCGUUACCCCGCCGACUACCUAAUCAGACGCAUCCCCAUCCCAUAGCGGUAAACCUUUGCUCCUCGUCAGAUGCCAUCAAAGGAGAACAUAGGGCAUUAAUCCGACUUUCGCCGGGCUAUUCCCUACUGUGGGCCAGGUUGGAUACGCGUUACUCACCCGUGCGCCGGUCGCCAUCAAAGUUUGCAAGCAAACUUCAUGAUGCCCCUCGACUUGCAUGUGUUAAGCCUGUAGCUAGCGUUCAUC